ACCUGCGGAAGGAUCAUAGUAAACGUCUCUCUGACGCACCUUUCGUCCACCGGACGCUAAGCAGCUCUGGCAGAGGAUAAACUGCCGUCCUGUGUUACCUCCCUGGAGGCACACGUUAAAGAUCGCUCCCCGUCGUGAGUCUGUCUUGUUGAAAAAUCACACAACCGGUAGCAUUGGAUCCCUUGGCACGUCGUUCGAUGAAGACCGUUGCAAAUUGCGAUAAAGUGAUGUGAUGCGCAAGUCCACCACUUAUACGUGAAUCAUCGAGUUGUUGAACGCACUGCACCGCGCUCUAAACCAGCUGCGGUAUGCCCCUUUGAGCGUCAUUUCUUUCCUUCGUGAGCUCCUUUGGGGGCCCGAGUUCGGAGUCCACGGUCCCACCCGGGAUCGCGUUCUCUCAGAUCCAGCGCGUCGACCGUCCCGGCGGGCUCUCUCAUGCUUGAGUGUGGAGGCCCGGCUUUGAGACGUCGCGUCCGACGGACCGCCUGAGUGUCCGUCAGCAAGGCCAUCGCGGCCUACAGAUCAUGACCUCAUUGGGGUAGGACAACCCGCUAGACUUAAGCAUAUUAAUCAGCGGAGGAAAAGAAACUAACCAGGAUCC
rnacentral:rRNA from 1 species